rnacentral:rRNA from 1 species
AAUAGAUACCCCGGUAGUCCUGACAGUAAACGGUGCACGUUUGGUGUGGGGGAUUCGACCCCUCCUGUGCCGGAGUUAACACGUUAAACGUGCCGCCUGGGAAGUACGAUCGCAAGAUUAAAACUCAAAGAAAUUGACGGGGACCCGCACAAGCGGUGGAGUAUGUGGCUUAAUUCGAUGCAACGCGAAGAACCUUACCUAGGCUUGACAUGCACUGUGUCUCCGGUGAAAGCCGGAUAGUGUAGCAAUACACGCUUUGCACAGGUGCUGCAUGGCUGUCGUCAGCUCGUGUCGUGAGAUGUUGGGUUAAGUCCCGCAACGAGCGCAACCCCCGUGAUUUGUUGCCACCGGAGCAAUCCGAGCACUCGAAUCAGACUGCCCAGAUCAACUGGGGAGGAAGGUGGGGAUGACGUCAAGUCCGUAUGGCCCUUACGCCUAGGGCUGCACACGUACUACAAUGCCCAGUACAAUGUGAACCGAGACCGCGAGGUGGAGGAAAUCUAUAAAACUGGGCUCAGUUCAGAUUGCG